GAAGCAGUAGCUCAGUUGGAUAGAGCAUUGGAAUAUUAGUUUUGGAAUUAUCUUAAAGGUCAAUUAAAACUUACUUCAAUUAGGGAUCCAAAGGUCGUGGGUUCGAAUCCCAUCUGCUUCA
rnacentral:tRNA from 1 species